UACGGAGGGUGCAAGCGUUGUCCGGAUUUAUUGGGUUUAAAGGGUGCGUAGGCGGCUUAUUAAGUCAGUGGUGAAAGCCUGUAGCUCAACUAUAGAAUUGCCAUUGAUACUGGUUAGCUUGAGUUCGGUUGAGGUAAGCGGAAUGGAUAGUGUAGCGGUGAAAUGCAUAGAGAUAAGGCAGAACACCGAUAGCGAAGGCAGCUUACUGGACCGAUACUGACGCUGAGGCGCGAAAGCAUGGGGAGCGAACAGG
rnacentral:rRNA from 1 species